rnacentral:rRNA from 1 species
AUGAACAAAGCUGUGCAGGCCAGGUGGCCUUGGUUACAGAGAUCAGACACAUCGCGACCAUGGGCAGAGUUUGACAUCACAGUACCAAAAGCUUCAACACAACUCUUCAACGCGGCCGCUCACUGGACUCUCGGCGACGGGAAUACAACACUCUUUUGGGAAGAUAGAUGGCUCGACGGACACCGGAUCGUUGAGAUUGCACCCUUGACCUACGGCCGAGUCAGGAAGAAAACGAGGAACACAUGCACCGUAGCCCAGGCCCUACUGAAUGACGGUUGGGUCGCCCAAGUAAGCCCGGAGGUAUCAGCUGACUCGCUAAGGGAAUAUCUACAGCUAUGGAACAUGAUCCAAGAACUUCAACUUGACCCAGCGCAACAUGAUACCAUCACUUGGUCAUGGGAAACAAGCGGAUGCUAUUCAGCGAGGACUGCCUAUGCAGCCAAAUUCUGGGGCAGGCAGGUCGUCCCCACGGCCGAAUUCACGUGGAAAUCUAGAGCACCGGCGCCCUGCCGCUUCUUCACAUGGCUGGCAAUCCAGGAUAGGUGCUGGACGUCCGAUCAGCUGGCAAGACGAGGGCUCGAUCAUCAGGACUGCUGCCCAAUGUGCAGCCAAGCAAAGGAGAGCAUAAACCACAUUUUGCUCCAGUGUGUCGUC